GACGAACGCUGGCGGCGUGCUUAACACAUGCAAGUCGAACGGAAACGCCCUGCUUGUGUGCGGUGCUGGGUUGCGGAACGCGUGAGUAACACGUGAGUAACCUGCCCUUCACUUUGGGAGAACUUAAGGAAGCGAGGGCUACUAUAGUCUAGGAGAUCCUGCUGAGUUGUGGGGAUUGGAUAGUUUCGGCUGUUGGGGAUGAACUAGCGGCUGAUCAGCUUGUUGGUGGGGGAGUGGCUUACCAAGGCGUUGACGGGUCGCCGGCCUGAGAGGGUGAACGGGCACAUGGGGACUGAGAUACGGACCAGACUCCAACGGGAGACAGUAGUGGGGAAUAUUGUACAAUGGGAGCAAGCCUGAUGCAGAAACCCCCCGUUCGUGAUGACGGUCUGUUGGUUGUGAACCGCUUUCGCUUAUGACGCAGCGUUACUGACGGUAAUGGAUAAAGAAGCACCGGCUAACUACGUG
rnacentral:rRNA from 1 species